GAGGAACCAUGCACCAUGGAAGAUCUUGCUAGGGCUACAGACCAGACCUUAUGUGCCCAACACUGGAAAAACCUAUGAUUGUGAUGGAAGGACACCAGAAGGAGGAAGACUGAGAAGGGAACAUAGUAACUGCCAUACUGGAUCAGAUUGGGUGAACCAAGGUACAUCUAGUCCAGUAUCCUGUCUGCAACAGCAGCCAGCAUCAGAUACUUCAGAGGAAAGUGGAAGAAACCCAUAGCGGGACAAUGUAGGAUAAUCAGCUGCAUCAUGAAAGGCUCCUUAUGGGAAACAAUUACAUAGUACUUGGAAAAGGAAAAGCAGUACUAACUGCUCAGUCCUGGUUGGAGCUGAAAGUUUGUCAGAAAAUCAUUCCGAUGAAAAAUGCCCUUUUCACAAAACCAUUUUUUUUCAAGAGAAAAUUUCAGUUUACCAAAACAUUUCUGUUUCUCAUCAGGAAAAAUCAAAAAGGAUGGCUCCUGGUUGGGCCUGGAAGGAAACUGACAAGAUACAUGUGACUGCUGAGCAUGUCAGUUUCACUCCGCAGCUGUCUGGGUCCCGGGCUGGGCGCGACUUCGUUCCACGCAUUGGGGUUUCCGUCCCAAAGGAAGAUUUUUCGGGAGGCGGAGUUCAUGGGAAAUUUCGAAGCCACUAAUUUCCCCCGCGAACUGGGAAGGCGGCGCGUGGGGCGGCUCCAGCGGCGGGGCGGUGCCAGAGCUGUGGGGGGAACUGCUCCUGUCACCCCGGAUGUUGUCCACUACCUUGACCUCUUAGGAGGAUGGAAGACUGCUCAGUGUCUUCAAACAGUCUCCCUUGGGCAGAGAGAUGUCAAUCACAGAUGAACACAUAUGCUGACUCCUCUGCCUGCAAAUCAAGUAUGCUGUACAGGAGUGUUACAGUUCCUUGCAGAUAUUACUCUGAGCACUUAGGUGUCCCAGAAAAACACUUACAAGAAUUCCUUCAAAGUUCUCACAAUUUCUAGAGAAGCUGGCCAAGACAGCUGAGUUUGCAUUAGUACUGGUCUAGGACUCUUCAGGGGCCCAACAUGGGAAAUAUAGAAAUAUAGGACCACCUCUUUAGUAGGGUUGCUAUGUCCUUGAACCCAGGCAAGUCAUUUGCUAUGGGGCAAGGUGGGCAGUUGCCCCCCUCCCCUCCCGCCUUCCUGACUUUUCAUAGUUCUAUUUGCUCCAUUAUGUCUUCCACUUUUUGCCCCCUCUGUAAUGGAAUAGAAAAUACCACAUUUAAGAUAGCCUGAGCAUUAAAGGAUCUUAUGAUCAACA